rnacentral:rRNA from 1 species
UGCGUAGGUGGUCGGGUAAGUCUGAUGUGAAAUCUCCGGGCCUAACCCGGAAACUGCAUCGGAUACUAUUCGGCUAGAGGGUUGGAGGGGGGACGUGGAAUACUUGGUGUAGCAGUGAAAUGCGUAGAUAUCAAGUGGAACACCAGUGGCGAAGGCGAGUCCCUGGACAACUCCUGACACUGAGGCACGAAAGCUAGGGGAGCAAACA